CCUACGGGUGGCAGCAGUGAGGAAUAUUGGUCAAUGGACGAGAGUCUGAACCAGCCAAGUAGCGUGAAGGAUGACUGCCCUAUGGGUUGUAAACUUCUUUUAUAUGGGAAUAAAACGUUCCACGUGUGGGAUUUUGUAUGUACCAUAUGAAUAAGGAUCGGCUAACUCCGUGCCAGCAGCCGCGGUAAUACGGAGGAUCCGAGCGUUAUUCGGAUUUAUUGGGUUUAAAGGGAGCGUAGGUGGAUUGUUAAGUCAGUUGUGAAAGUUUGCGGCUCAACCGUAAAAUUGCAGUUGAAACUGGCAGUCUUGAGUACAGUAGAGGUGGGCGGAAUUCGUGGUGUAGCGGUGAAAUGCUUAGAUAUCACGAAGAACUCCGAUUGCGAAGGCAGUUCACUGGACUGCAACUGACACUGAGGCUCGAAAGUGUGGGUAUCAAACAGGAUUAGAUACCCCUGUAGUC
rnacentral:rRNA from 1 species